CAGAUGUGGAUGAUUGUUCCGAUUCAGAUGGAGGAGAGAAGCCAAACAAGCAAAGCAGAACAAAGCAGUGCAAUCACAUUCAGCCUUAUUAUAGAAUCAUCAAAAACUUGCACAAGCUGGGUGUCAGACUCUGUUCCAUGUUUUGUGUGUGUUCCUGCUCCCUGAUUGGUUAUCAUUUCAUCCCAGGUGUUUCCCAUGUGUAAUUUCCAUUGAUCCCAGGUGUGUCUCAUCUUGUUAUGUUUAAAUAGUGUUCCCUUUUUUCAGUUGGGCGUCCGGUAUUGUUCAUGUCUACAUGUGCUACGUGAGUUUUCCUUGUUAUAAUUAAACUUCUCUGGAUUGAUGUACUCCUCGUCUCCCUCUGUUCCUUGCUCCAUGCUCCACACUCCACUCAGUAGUGCAUCCGUGACAGAAUACCGGACCAAAAAAACAAAAAUCAGUGGGAUUGCAUUGGAUGAAAGUCAUCAUUUACCUCAAUGAUGUUGGAAUCUGCAAAGCCUGGAAGUCGCUCAUCUUUACAAACCACCCCUGCGUCCUCCUGGUGCGUGCAGUCACUGUUCCCCCAGCCACGGGACACACAUUUCUCUAUGCUGUUUUCCGAUCCUCCACACAUGACAUUAUCCAGCCAGAUUUUACCUGCAGAUUUUUGACCAGCCAGUGCCUGGUCCAUACUUGGCACUGUGCGACCAGCUUAGUGCCUCCACAAACCCUAGAUGGUGACAGAGAACAUGAGCGUUGGCCAAGGUGAAGUCGUCAUCACAGAUAGUGCCCCACUCUCC